CGAACACGGAGAUAGCUGGUUCUCCCCGAAAUGUAUUUAGGUACAGCGUUAUGAAAUACUUUAUGGAGGUAGAGCACUGGAUAGAAUAGGGGGCGUAAGCUUACCAAACCUAACCAAACUCCGAAUACCAUAAAGAGUAUCAUUGCAGUGAGACCGUGGGGGAUAAGCUCCAUUGUCGAAAGGGAAACAGCCCAGAUCGCAGGUUAAGGUCCCAAAGUAUAUGCUAAGUGUUAAACGAAGUAGGGUCGCCCAGACAGCCAGGAGGUUGGCUUAGAAGCAGCCAUCCUUUAAAGAGUGCGUAAUAGCCCACUGGUCAAGGGGCCCCGCACGGAAAAUAAACGGGGCUAAGCAUAUCACCGAGACCGCGGGAUCUAAUUUAUUAGAUCGGUAGGGGAGUGUCGUUAAAGCGUUGAAGCUGAGUUGUAAGACUUGGUGGAGUUUUAACAAGUAAGAAUGUUGGCAUGAGUAGCAAAAAUGCCGGUGAGAAUCCGGCAGGCCGAAAGUCUAAGGAUUCCUACGCAACGUUGAUCGGCGUAGGGUUAGUCGGUCCUAAGGCGUAUCCGAAAGGAGAAGUCGAUGGAUAGCUGGUAAAUAUUCCAGCACCUUUAAAUAAUUGUUUGAGUCAAAGAGGUGACGUGAACAGAUAAGCAGAGCAUACGUAUCGGACAUCGUGUGUUUUUGACCGUAGGAGAGUAGAGAAGGUUAAAAUAUUUUCUAUGUUUGAUCUGAGGAGAAAGAAAACUAUGAGGUUAGCCUCGUGGGAUUCUGCCGAUUCUAAGUCGCCUAGAAAAACCUCGUUGAUUAGAUUUUUUGAAGACCGUACCGCAAACCAACACAGGUAGACAGGGAUAAAAGUCCCAAGGCCUUCGAGAGAACCAUCGUUAAGGAACUCGGCAAAUUGACCCCGUAACUUAGGGAGAAGGGGGACCUUAAGUGUAUAUGAGCUAGCCUCAAAAAGCACAUAAGGUAGCAUAAAAUAGGCUGAAGCGACUGUUUACCAAAAACACAGGUCCAUGCCAAAGCGAAAGCUGAUGUAUAUGGGCUGACGCCUGCCCAGUGCCGGUAGGUUAAGGAAAGGAGUGCAAGCUCUUGACUGAAGCCCCGGUGAACGGCGGCCGUAACUAUAACGGUCCUAAGGUAGCGAAGUCCCUUGUCGGGUAAGUUCCGACCCGCACGAAUGGCGUAACGACUUGAACACUGUCUCAACGAUGGACUCGGUGAAAUUGCAGGACCCGUAAAGAUGCGGGUUACGCGCAGCAGGACAAAAAGACCCCGUGGAGCUUUACUGCAGCUUGACAUUGGUUCGAGCUUUAACCUGUGUAGGAUAGGCGGGAGACUAUGAAUUAGAUGCGCCAGCAUUUAAGGAGUCGCCCUUGAAAUACCGCCCUGAUUACAGUUUGAAUCUAACUUUUACUAGAACAGUGUCUGGUGGGCAGUUUGACUGGGGCGGUCGCCUCCCAAAGAGUAACGGAGGCGCACAAAGGUCACCUCAGGCUGGAUGGAAAUCAGCCUUAGAGCGUAUUGGUAUAAGGUGGCUUGACUGCGAGACAUACAAGUCGAGCAGGGACGAAAGUCGGUCAAAGUGAUCCCACGGUAC
rnacentral:rRNA from 1 species